rnacentral:lncRNA from 1 species
GGUCUUGGGUUCCAUAAUGUGGGAGGGAGAAAGAACAGAAAGACACAUCUUUCCUCCUCAAACUUACAUGAUGUAUCUUCUGUUAAACUUUCCCUGAUUAUUCCUAUAGGGAAUGAACUUUCCUUCUCUUGGACUUCACAAAGACUUGACUUAUGACCCUUGAUGCUCUUAUCAAGUUAUAUUAUAACUAUUAUUUUUCAGAACUGGAAGGGACCUUGGAGAAAAUUUCAUCCUACUUUUUAUUUUUUAGAUGAGAAAACAGAAUGUUAGGAUGCUGAUUAAACUUGUACAAGGCUCACAUGGCUAUUUUGAUAGAAAUCUGAUGCUAGAAUUCAGGCCUUCUGACUCAAAAAUCCAAACUCCCUUCCACUAUAACUAUACCCUUACUAAAUGAUGGAUCCAUGAGGGUGGGGCCAUCACGUUUUGUUUCAACCUUAUGUCUCCUCCUAGAACUGAACAAUGAAAUACUGAAGAUAAAUGUUUACUGGAGUUGAAAUGGAAACUGGAGAUAUAUCAGCAUUUUGCCGUGCAAAAAGAACACUGGAUUUGAAGCUGGACAAUGAGGGUUUGAACCUUAUCUCUAACACUUAUCCCUGCUUUAACCUUAGAGAGCCUGGAAACUGGGUCUGAGAAUCUCUUACUCAGGAGUUUGCAGGCCUUCAAGCUAAGACUAAAGGAAGAAAACAAGGAAAGUCAGGAUUUCUGCUCUUUCUGGAAGAUUAUAGCAGUACUCUAGCCAAAGAUAUCAACUACACCAGAAGUUGAAGGCAUUGGAAACUAUAGCCAAACAAGGUCUGAAUGCACUCCUUAAAGAAGCAAGCCUACUGAGACUGUUGAGUAUUGAUCCCAGCAGAGACACUGCUCAGUGAGGAGCAGAAAGAGAACAAAUUCAGAAGACCCUCCCCCAUAUAUUUUCCAUAGGUGGACUUUUCCUGUGUCAUUUCUAUGAUGACUCCAAUAAUGAUGUUUAUGGUUGUAAGAGACAAUGCUCAAGAUUUAUGGGGAGAAAAUUCUAUUGUAAAUUGUCUUAUACUAUUUAAUUAAAUGUCUUUGUUUUGAACUGAUUGUGUUCU